AUUAUUUGUUCUUUAUUUUCUUCAGGCGGAUGGUAAAACGUGUGUAUGUACCCCUUCCAGACAAAGAGACCAGAAAAGUCCUCUUGUCUAAACUUCUCGUCAAGAAUCACAAUCCACUGAGUUCUUGGGAGAUGGAUUCCCUUGCCAGACAAACUGAAGGCUAUUCUGGUAGCGACCUGACAGCCCUCCAACUAUCCUUCCCCUUUUC